GUUCUGCUGCUGGCGUGCACGGUCACAGCAGAUGGGCUGUGUUGUUCAUGCCUCAUCCCUCUGAGGAACUGCUGCUUUCUGUGCCGACUUCAUGGAAGAGGAAACCGUGGCUCCGAGAGAUUGAGUCAUUUGCCUGCCGGCACAGCUGGGAUCUGAGUCAAACCCCGUGACUCGGAGAGAGAGAUUCUUGUCAACUCUCAGCUCUGUGCGGCUCCCAAACGGCCCAGCCUGGUGCCCUGCAUGGGAGACAACCCAGCUGUCUCUCGGCAGUUGAUGUGGUGUGCUCCCAGGAUUUGGUACCAGCCAGCCAAGGGAAUAACAGCCUGUCUUCACAGCCCCAAUAUGGGCACAUCUGUAGACGUUCUGCGUGGAGAGCAGACGCCAGGCGACAAUAGUACUUCGUGUGGCUCUGCUGGCAAGACCAGGAAUGGGCAGAGCAGCUGUAAUUAGAACUGCAGGAAAUGUUCGCCAAUCUGGUAUGAAAGAAAGAAGAAAGCAGACCAAAGAGGCCCAAGACAAUUUGCUGGAAGCGGCACUGGGGAGGGGCAUAGGGACAGCAUGACCUCGAUAGGCUCAGGGCUCUCCUACAUUCCCACCUGGCCAAGUCACAGAGCCGUGCACUCAGCAGCAAAUCCACAUGCAGUGAGAAGUGAGAACCCACAAAGUCUGGUCAAUAACUUAUUAAGGAACGCAAUGGAAAAACAGAAUAACGAAUACAGAACAAGGUAGAGCCACUGCUGACCCAGCUGCGGUUGUCCUGCCGUUCUGCCCACGGAUGAUAAGGACUGACUGCCGGGCUUGUUCCCCAGCUCCCUCCUCGGUUUUGGUUUUUGU